rnacentral:lncRNA from 1 species
GCAAAUACGCGCACGCGUGGCGAAGCUUUGUCGUCGCGAGGCCGGGUUGUAGCGUCCUUGCAUUGGCUGCUUGCUGGGCAGGAUCCUGGUGGCCGCCGCCGAGCAACGAGCCAACGAGAACACCCACCUCGGCGCCUCCGAUACUCCAGCUAGGCUGCGGUUGAUCACAAGGUCACGCCUUACGACCGACCUUUUGCCUAAGCCCCUCUUGCCGUGUGUGCCGACUGGCUUGCAUGAUUGCUAUGUACUCCAUAUGUACCCUCUCAAAAAAAAAAAGCCAAAUGUUUUUUUUUUUGGUGGUGGGAGUGAAUUUUAGACGGAGCGCUUCUCAUUACACUUCUUAACUAGGAAAACUUGUCAAGUUCCAAGGAGAUGGCCAAAAGCAGCGUGGAAAUUAAAGCGACCUCCCUCAUGAUGAGCCGGGUGGUUUGCAUGAUUUGGGAGACAAACGAACGACUGGUUCGUUGGACCAAACUAGCUGUACACACAAGCAGGGGAUUCGUAUGGUAUAUGGAGCUCCUCUACCAAAAAGUGCACUUGCAGCUGCAGGUCGAGUUGAUACGAUCACACGUACGAUUAUCACGCUAUCCACUACUUUCUCUUAAUUUUCGUCACAGAAAGCUCCGUAGUACCAGUAGCGUAGGUCAAAGCAAAAAUCGAAAUGAUUGUAGUCGAAGAG